AUUGAACGCUGGCGGCAGGCCUAACACAUGCAAGUCGAGCGGAUGAAGGGAGCUUGCUCCUGGAUUCAGCGGCGGACGGGUGAGUAAUGCCUAGGAAUCUGCCUGGUAGUGGGGGAUAACGUCCGGAAACGGGCGCUAAUACCGCAUACGUCCUGAGGGAGAAAGUGGGGGAUCUUCGGACCUCACGCUAUCAGAUGAGCCUAGGUCGGAUUAGCUAGUUGGUGGGGUAAAGGCCUACCAAGGCGACGAUCCGUAACUGGUCUGAGAGGAUGAUCAGUCACACUGGAACUGAGACACGGUCCAGACUCCUACGGGAGGCAGCAGUGGGGAAUAUUGGACAAUGGGCGAAAGCCUGAUCCAGCCAUGCCGCGUGUGGGAAGAAGGUCGUCGGAUUGUAAAGCACUUUAAGUUGGGAGGAAGGGCAGUAAGUUAAUACCUUGCUGUUUUGACGUUACCAACAGAAUAAGCACCGGCUAACUUCGUGC
rnacentral:rRNA from 1 species